rnacentral:rRNA from 1 species
UGCAAGUCGAACGAUGAAGCCCUUCGGGGUGGAUUAGUGGCGAACGGGUGAGUAACACGUGGGCAAUCUGCCCUCCACUUCGGGACAAGCCCUGGAAACGGGGUCUAAUACCGGAUGACACUCCUGCCUGCAUGGGCGGGGGUUGAAAGCUCCGGCGGUGGAGGAUGGGCCCGCGGCCUAUCAGCUGGUUGGUGAGGUAACGGCUCACCAAGGCGACGACGGGUAGCCGGCCUGAGAGGGCGACCGGCCACACUGGGACUGAGACACGGCCCAGACUCCUACGGGAGGCAGCAGUGGGGAAUAUUGCACAAUGGGCGCAAGCCUGAUGCAGCGACGCCGCGUGAGGGAUGACGGCCUUCGGGUUGUAAACCUCUUUCAGCAGGGAAGAAGCGCAAGUGACGGUACCUGCAGAAGAAGCGCCGGCUAACUACGUGCCAGCAGCCGCGGUAAUACGUAGGGCGCGAGCGUUGUCCGGAAUUAUUGGGCGUAAAGAGCUCGUAGGCGGCCAGUCACGUCGGGUGUGAAAGCCCGGGGCUCAACCCCGGGUCGGCAUUCGAUACGGGCUGGCUAGAGUGUGGUAGGGGAGAUCGGAAUUCCUGGUGUAGCGGUGAAAUGCGCAGAUAUCAGGAGGAACACCGGUGGCGAAGGCGGAUCUCUGGGCCAUUACUGACGCUGAGGAGCGAAAGCGUGGGGAGCGAACA